UACGAAGGGUGGCUAGCGUUGUUCGGAAUCACUGGGCGUAAAGCGCGCGUAGGCGGCCAAUCAAGUCAGGGGUGAAAUCCCACAGCUUAACUGUGGAACUGCCUUUGAAACUGUAUGGCUAGAGUGUCGGAGGGGGAUGGCGGAAUUGCUAAUGUAGAGGUGAAAUUCGUAGAUAUUAGCAGGAACACCGGUGGCGAAGGCGGCCAUCUGGACGACAACUGACGCUGAGGCGCGAAAAGCGUGGGGAGUCAAACAGGA
rnacentral:rRNA from 1 species